GGAAUCUUGGACAAUGGGGGAAACCCUGAUCCAGCGACGCCGCGUGACCGAUGAAGCCCCUCGGGGUGUAAAGGUCUUUCAGCGGGGACUAUUAUGAAGGUACCUGCAGAAGCAGCUGCGGCUAACUACGUGCCAGCAGCCGCGGUAAUACGUAGGCAGCUAGCGUUGUUCGGAAUUACUGGGCGUAAAGCGAGUGUAGGCGGUUUGCCAAGUCCGUUGUGAAAUCUCCCGGCUCAACUGGGAGGGUGCGGCGGAAACUGGCAGGCUAGAGUACGGAAUGGGAGAGUGGAAUUCCUGGUGUAGCGGUGAAAUGCGUAGAUAUCAGGAGGAACACCGGUGGUGAAGACGGCUCUCUGGACCGUCACUGACGCUGAGACUCGAAAGCGCGGGGAGCAAAC
rnacentral:rRNA from 1 species